rnacentral:lncRNA from 1 species
CUUUCUUUCAUUUUAUUUGAUAGGAGCUCAUAUAGUUCAUGUUGAAACAACAUAUUCCCAUAGGAUUCAUGCUUCUAGUUAAUCAAGAGAAAUCCCCUGGUUUGAUGAUAAUUCUAAGUGUUUGCUUCAAUAACCGUUUUCAAAUAAAACUUGCUUUUUUUUUUUUUUUUUUUUUUUUUUUUUUUUUCACCUUUCUUUGAUCUUACUUAAUAUGUGCUCAUGUUGUUAAACAAUCUAUUUCAUAAGGAUUUGGACUUUUAGUCAAUCAAGAGAAAAGCACUGUGUGAUGAUAGUGCUCUUUGCUUCAAUGACCUGUUUAUAUAUUAGGUUUUUUUUUUUUUUUGUAGUCUUUGAACACCUUUGGGAUAUGUUCAAUAGGGAGUUCCUGUUUUAAAUGAAGAAUUCUUACAUUAACUUUAUUCAUAAGAAACCAUGGCUCUUCACAAACUCCCUCUUCUUGCAUGCAGGAUAAAGGAUACUGAGCAUAAGAUGUUUUAGAAGGAAAGUAUGCAACUCCAUGGAAAACUCCAUCUUCUCCUUUUUGUGUAAUCUCCUUCUCACUGAUCUUGUAUGUAGACUAUCCUUUUUGGAUGUAAUUUUUUCAAUUGGACAUCUUCUAUUUAAAUUUUUUCCACUUAACUGUAAUAAAGUGCAAAGUUAGCUGCAAAUAGAACAGAGAAUGAAAUUUUAGGUGCAUUACUCAUUCAAGGAAAAUCCAAAUUUCUAUGUAUGCAAUGAUUCCAAUGAAUGGAAUUCAUUCAAUUCCGAAAGGUUCUCAUGAAAUUUCCCCCCUCAGUUUCAUAUAUCACUUUUCCCCCAUUACCCAAUAAGCUUGCCAUUUAAUGAAAAUCAUAGAGGUUAGGUAAAAUAACAGCACAGAUUAUAUGUGUACCACUUCUUAGACAUAUUAUGCAAACAUUAAGGAAGAUCUCAAAAUUUCAUUUUCUAUCUUAUGAUUUUUUUUCACCUUUUGUUAAUUUUACUUGAUAUAUUCUCAUUUUGUUAAAAAAAUACAUUUUAUAGGGAUUCAAUUUUUUUUUGUCAUUCAAGAGAAAAAUUCUGGCUUGAUGAUAAUGCUAUGUUUGCUUCAAUUGCCUGUUUAUAUAUUGGGUCUUUUUGUAGUCUUUAAACACCUUUGGGAUGUGUUCAAUAAGGAGAUCCUGUUUUCAAUGUAGAAUGCUUACAUUAAUUUAUUCAUUAGGAACCAUAGCACUUCACUGAUCUCCCUCUGCUUUCAUGCUAGAAUAAAGGAUGCUGAGCACUGUAUGUUUUAGAAUGAAAGUAUGCACCUCCAUGGAAAACUCCAUCUUCUCCUCUUUGUAUAAUUUACUUCUGUCCCAUCUUAUUUCCUAAGGAUAUGAUUGUUCCGGUUGGACGUGAUCUUUUUUAAACUCUUUUCAUUCAAAUGUAAUCAAGUGCAAACAGUUGCAAAUGAAAUGGAGAAUGAAAGUUUAGAUGUAGUACUCAUUGAAGGAAAAUCCAAUUUUCUAGGUAUUGCAAUGGUUGUUGCAAUUAGUGGAAUUCUUUCAAUUGCUGAAGGAAUCCCAUGAAAUCUGCCAGCUUGGUUUUGUAUAUCACUUUUUUCCCAUUAUCAAAAGCAUUUGUUAUUUACUAGAAAUCAUAAAUAAAUUAAGUGGAAU